GAUGAACGCUAGCGGCAGGCUUAACACAUGCAAGUCGAGGGGUAUAGUAGCAAUACUAGAGACCGGCGCACGGGUGCGUAACGCGUAUGCAACCUACCUUUUACAGAGGGAUAGCCCCAGAGAAAUUUGGAUUAAUACCUCAUAGUGUUAUUAGAUGGCAUCAUUUGAUAACUAAAGUUCCAACGGUAAAGAUGGGCAUGCGUCCUAUUAGCUAGAUGGUAAGGUAACGGCUUACCAUGGCUACGAUAGGUAGGGGUCCUGAGAGGGAGAUCCCCCACACUGGUACUGAGACACGGACCAGACUCCUACGGGAGGCAGCAGUGAGGAAUAUUGGACAAUGGGCGCAAGCCUGAUCCAGCCAUGCGCGUGCAGGAAGAAGCAUCUAUGGUGUGUAAACUGCUUUUGUACGGGAAGAAACACUCCUACGUGUAGGGANCUUGACGGUACCGUAAGAAUAGGAUCGGCUAACGUCCGUGCCAGCAGCCG
rnacentral:rRNA from 1 species